UGGGGGCCUAAGGGGAAGGGGGAAUAGGUAGGAAAUAGCCCAGGGAUCACUUUCAUUCAUUUUGUGAUUUCUUCCUCAAUAAGGGAAAUGCAGAAGAGAAGUAGCUGGGAUGGGGUUAGACCGCUAAUCUGUAUGGUUCCCAGCUCCCAAGGCCUGAGGUGGAGGUAGAGAAAUGACAGCGCCCCGCCAGUCUGCAGCCUCUUGAUUGAAGAAUCAAAAUCAAUAAAGAAUUAAUUGAAUGAAAAA